GCUCCCGUAGCUCAACUGGAUAGAGCAAACUACCGCUAAUAGUAAGGUUGUGGGUUCAAAUCCCACCGGGAGUACCA
rnacentral:tRNA from 1 species